rnacentral:rRNA from 1 species
CGCGUAGGCGGUGCGGUAAGUCACCUGUGAAACCUCCGGGCUCAACUCGGAGCCUGCAGGCGAAACUGCCGUGCUGGAGUGUGGGAGGGGUGCGUGGAAUUCCCGGUGUAGCAGUGAAAUGCGUAGAUAUCGGGAGGAACACCCGUGGCGAAAGCGGCGCACUGGACCACAACUGACGCUGAGGCGCGAAAGCUAGGGGAGCAAACAGGAUUAGAUACCCUGGUAGUCCUAGCCCUAAACGAUGGAUGCUUGGUGUAGCCGGUACCCAAUCCGGCUGUGCCGCAGCUAACGCGAUAAGCAUCCCGCCUGGGGAGUACGGUCGCAAGGCUGAA